UCUCCUGGAGCCUCAGGAAGAGCUCCCUGUCCAUCCACACUGGCCUUCUUCCCUGCUGGCUCAUCUUGCAGCACAGGGGAUAGACCACUCCCAGGCCUUUAACACCUCACAAUCGACAACCUCACGGGUAGACGUCCCACCACAUCCUCACUCACCUCUCCUGCAAGUUCCAGAGCCUCAAACCUAUUAGCUCCUCCACCACACUGAGCAGAUCACCCACCUGCUCACGCCUCACAGACGUGGAAGCCCCGCCGCCCUUCACUGGUAUCCACUGCAGCAAGAGACCUGAACCGCAUCAAAAAGGCGGGAACUCCCUCCGAGUCGCCACAUUCUUUCUUGCCAGAGCUUUCCGCCACGUGGAGACCGCGGCUACAUUUGCUGUGCGGCUAGCAGCCAAUAGGUUUGUGGAGGGGGCCACACACAGUGGAGCUGCUGUGUCUUCCAUGAUGAAACUGAUAGCACAGUCCUGUUCUCAGAGUUAAUUCUGUAGUAGCAGUAGAGACUUACCUGUUUACUCCAUCGUGUUGCUGGAAUUCCUGAGAAGAAGUGAAGCAGUAAGAAGCACAGCACAAGGUGUUGUGGUGUGGCAUUAAAAAACAUACAAAUGCUACACCUUCUCUUAUGUAAAUCAUUUAAAUGACAGAAAACUAAUAAAACAGAGCAAACAAAAAGUGUUUACUAUAAUAAAGGAGUUCACUGAAAAAAGGGAUACUAAGCAGCUCUGUGCUCCCCACAGUACCUCAGGAAUCCUGAAUCAAGUCAGUUCUCCACCCCUCACCCUCUUGCAGGGGUGGCUUAGUCUAAAAC